GUGGGGAAUAUUGGACAAUGGGCGAAAGCCUGAUCCAGCCAUGCCGCGUGUGUGAAGAAGGUCUUCGGAUUGUAAAGCACUUUAAGUUGGGAGGAAGGGCAGUAAGUUAAUACCUUGCUGUUUUGACGUUACCGACAGAAUAAGCACCGGCUAACUUCGUGCCAGCAGCCGCGGUAAUACGAAGGGUGCAAGCGUUAAUCGGAAUUACUGGGCGUAAAGCGCGCGUAGGUGGUUUUGUAAGUUGGAGGUGAAAUCCCCGGGCUCAACCUGGGAACUGCCUCCAAAAAUGCAUUACUAGAGUACGGUAGAGGGUAGUGGAAUUUCCUGUGUAGCGGUGAAAUGCGUAGAUAUAGGAAGGAACACCAGUGGCGAAGGCGACUACCUGGACUGAUACUGACACUGAGGUGCGAAAGCGUGGGGAGCAAACAGGAUUAGAAACCCCUGUAGUCC
rnacentral:rRNA from 1 species